GCCUAGUUAGCUUAGUUGUAGUGCGUCUGCCUUGUAAGCGCUAGGCCGCGGGUUCGAUUCCCGCCCGGGGCG
rfam:Asian citrus Psyllid, Diaphorina citri - Florida Strain, whole genome shotgun sequence.